rnacentral:rRNA from 1 species
UACGGAGGGUGCAAGCGUUACUCGGAAUCACUGGGCGUGAAGGGCGCGUAGGCGGCCUAGCAAGUCUGGUGUGAAAGCCCAGGGCUCAACCCUGGAAGGGCACUGGAAACUGUUAGGCUUGAGUUCCGGAGAGGAGGGGGGAAUUCCCGGUGUAGCUGUGAAAUGCGUAGAGAUCGGGAGGAAUACCGGUGGCGAAGGCGCCCCUCUGGACGGAAACUGACGCUGAGGCGCGAAAGCGUGGGGAGCAAACAGG